UACGUAGGUGGCAAGCGUUGUCCGGAAUUAUUGGGCGUAAAGCGCGCGCAGGUGGUUUCUUAAGUCUGAUGUGAAAUCCCACGGCUCAACCGUGGAACGGCUGGGUAUACUGGCGAUCUUGAGUCACCUAGGGGCAGCCGGAACAGGCGGUGGAGCGGUGAAAUGCGUAGAUAUCGCCUGGAACGCCGAAGGUGAAGACAGGCUGCUGGGGGUGGACUGACGCUGAGGCGCGAAAGCGUGGGGAGCAAACAGG
rnacentral:rRNA from 1 species